AACACCCUCCCCGUGCCUUAAAGCAACCCCCUCCUCCCAGAAGUGCAUGGAACCAGUUCUGUGCACAUCCCUACUCUGCAUGCAGAAGCAUCAUCUACAAAUCCACUUGCCAUCUUCAUAUCUCAGUGCAAACUACAGAAGACCCACUUUUGUUCUAAGACCUUUGUCUGUGUGCCAGAAAAGGAUCUGGGGGAAGAUGGGAUUGGUUAUAGCCACAAAUAAUGGCUGGCUAUAGAGCUAAGUCUAAAUUUGUGGAUUCCUGUGCAGAAGGUCCUGGGUCCAAUCCCUGAUAUCUCCAGGAGGGCUGGGAAAGCCCCAUCUUGCAGUCUUUGAGAGCCACUGCCAGUCAUUGUAAACAAUACUGAGCUGGGUGGGAAAAUGGUCUUGACUUGCAGGAAGACAAGACAGCUUCCUGUGUUGCUAUGCAGCAACAAGAAGCUUCUGCCUCAACUUGCUUGCCUGUGCUUUCUGCCUUUCUGGGCAUUUGGCUGGGCCUGCUGAUUGCAGGGAGAAGGCAACUGGGGAACUGAGGGAAUGUGGCAGCUUCAAGGAGCAAACUGAAUCACUGCUUCUGCUUCUUUGUUUCUGUGUUCCCUUUUUUUAGGUGGCACAGUAGUUAGAAUUGAGCCUACUGAGCUGCCCAGUGACAGUCUAAUCACUGUUUGGCUUUUUCCAUCAUUUUUUUAAGUGAGUGGUAAAGGCCAGCUGGAGCCUCUGCUCUCUUGCUUGCGGUCUCUCCCUUGGCGACCCAGUACUUGGGAUUGAGCCCACUGCGGCAAGGCAGGGAGAAGGAUGAGGUCCCCCCCCAAUGACAUGUUGCCAAGUUCCACAAAAUCCAACACUACCAUGCUGAGAGGGAAAGACAGAGCUCAGUAGGCAAGUUAAUAGUAAUUAAGUACCACUGAAACCAAUAAGACAACUUAGUCAUAUCUAAUUUAAGUCUCAUUGAUUUAGUCAACUUAGUCUGGAUCUUUUCCAGUGUCUUUACUUCUAAAGAGCCUCGUAUUCCCCACCACGAAAUGGAAUAUCAUUGCCAUUCCUCAUUAUCAAAACAAUAAUAUUUUUAGGUAUUUUAUUUAUUUUAUUUUAUUUAUUUUUACACUUCUGUCUCUCUUCCUCCGAGGAGCUCAGAUCAGUGUACAUGGUUAUUUUUAUCCUCGCAACAACCCUGUGAGGUUCGUUAGGCUGAGAGAUACAUGACUGGCCCUGAGUCACUCAGUGAGUUUCAUGGUUGAAUGGGAUUCGAACUCAGGUCUUCCCAGUUCUAGUCCAACACUCUAACCACUACACUGUGCUGGCUUAUGCUCCUUUUGGAUUUAAAGAGACACAUGAAGAUGACAUUUGGCUUGCAGAUACAAUGCACAGUGAAUGGUGGAGAGCGUGCAGUAUAUCCCCAAUGAUUGUUACAGAACAUUGGAUUCUGGUUUAGCUGUUGCCAAUUAAGGGAGUAAUUCUGACUAAUCCCCUGGAACAGCCGUGUGAAGCUCUGUGGUCAUCAAAGGGGCAAAAGGUUUGAUACAAUUUGUAUAUCCUUACAUUGAAAUAGGAAGUUGAAUUUGCUGAAGACCAAGGAUUCUGUAAGACCAAGAUGGAAAGGAUUCUGUACAGAAGUUCAAAAUGCAUUUGUGACAUUGUCUCUAAGGAGUCCACUGACUAUUUACUUUUGGCUUGUUCUCAAUUUUAUGCACCUUGGUGAAUUCAUUGCAAGAAAUUGGAGCAAGUAUGGAAUGAAGUUGGUAAAGAGAUAGGAAAUAAUGGGUCUCCAGUAAAAAUAAGGAAGAUGGAUGCAACUUCCUAUUCUAGUUAAAGGGUGACGCUACAUACAACUACAGAGGCCCUAGGACCAAAAGUGACAUUAUUGUGUUUGCAAACAGAGUAGUAGGUGUGUGGCACUCCCUGAAAUGCCAGCUGUUCUCUUCUUAAAGAUGAAACCUAUUUUGUGUAUGAUGGUUGAAGUCUGUUCAGGAAGUUGCUUAAAAUUACAGAGACCACUUUCAUAGAUAAGGCUGUAUUUGUUACUUCUUGUGUCGCUAGAUUCUGUGCCAUUGCAUACAAGACCCGUCAAGCAAUGGUGAAGCCCCCUCCCCCCAACAUCAGUUAGGUUGAGUGUCAAUUACCUGACGUCUGAUAUGCAAAACUGAAGAUGCACAAAUGAUAGGGUUGAGAGAGAUUCCUGCCUGCAACCUUGGAGAAGCCACUGCCAGACAAUACUGAGCUAGACAGACCAAUGGUCUGACUCAGUAUACAGCAGCUUCCUACGUUCCUAAGCAAGUCUGUUUUCUAGAGUUCCCCACUCCUGGGUUGCUUUCUCUUUGGUUUACCACUGGGUGUCAUCAGUAUCAUGUGUUAUGGAAUUUGCACUGCUGAUAUGAGGGAGAUUCGGAUGAAGCAGAGGCAUCUAAGAAGGAAACAGCCUGCAGAGAUCUUACUGAUGAAUGCACAGAAGAAGAACAAGAGAAAGAAAACAAUAAAAAAUAAAAUGCUGUAGAACUUCCAGAUAGAUUCAGAACAGCAAACUAUACAAUACAUAGAGAACCAGAACAGCAAACUAUACUGGAAGAGAAAAAAAGACCAAUAUUGCUUAGUUCAGAGGUUUUUAUGUAGAAUUUUCAAAUAGAUACUUGUUUAUUGAACUGGGUCACUUACCUGUGACUUUCACAGUGAGGAUCGUAUUUUAUCUGUUGUGUUUAAAGAAAUUUAAAGAAUGAGCAUGCAUUAUUUUACAUGGAUGCAGACUGCAAUCAGGUACUCUAUCUUCUGGCUCUUAUUACAUGUGGUUCAAAACUAUUUUGACAGUGCGGCCAAAGUUAAAAAGGCUUCCCUCCUUUUUAAAUUGUUAAGGAAAACUGGGAUGUUCCCAGAAACCCUAGAGAGAAUCUGUCAAAAGUCUUAUUGGGGAAACACUCGUUUAGGAUGUCGCAUAUAUGAUUUUUUUAAAAUUUCACCUUCUGUAGUUUCUGAAAAGCAAUACCUCUUUUGUUUUGCUCUUUGAAAUUUAAUAUGUAAAUUAUAAUAAAGAAUUUUGAUGGCAGUGCUCAAGGCAGGUA